rnacentral:snRNA from 1 species
UUGCUCACUUUGGCAGCACAUAUACUAAAAUUGGAACAAUAUGGAGAAGAUUAGCAUGGCCCCUGCACAAGGAGGGCAGCAAAUUUGUGAAGCAUUCCAUAUUUUU